AAUCCAUGCAUAGGAUAAUUCCACAACAAUUCUUUAAAUUUUUCCCAUGCUUCAUACAAGCUUUCAUCUUCCGUAUGAUUGAACAAAGAUUAAUUGUUUUCAAGUUU